UGGACUCUGGAGCUUGCAUGUUUGGAUCAAAAUUGAGCAUUUAUCCUGGUCCUUAUUAACUCACAAAAACUAUGUUCCAAAACAAAGUUUUUAAGUCGUAUAAAUAGUAUUUUAUGCUGAACUUACAGUUUUUACUUUUACCUAUUAUUUUAAGUCUGUGAGUUCAUAUUCUGUCAAAAAACUUUUACGUCGAUAUAAUUUCAGCACUUUCGAGCAUGAGUGAUAAUGGAAGUAUGAAUUAGUACGAUAAUAGUUUGUCGGGCACAUAAUUAUAAAUCUUUAUCAAUGCUGGUCUCUUAUCCACACAAAAGGGUAAUUGAAAAUUUCAAAUAACUUGGAUUUAAAACACCAAGAAGCAACAGCAAGCAAAACAAAAUCCCGAAGGUCGGAAGAGAAUCCUUGUUCGGAGUUCAAGAUUCUGCCAUUGUGUGAAUUUAUGUGGGGAGAGGAUAUGCAGUUGAAAAAUGUCCUGGAGCUUCUUGUACCAAUGGCUGUCCAUAAAGUGACAAUAAAAAAAGGGAUAGUUUGCCGUUUGCAAACAUUUUUAGCUUUUGCAUAGAAUGCACCAAUUGGGGUUUAGUACAUUGUUGGGCUUCCUCUUCAGAGUAUUAUCAUUUUUGUUCAGGGCCCCCAAAUUCUUUUAAUAAGCAAAGCAAUGAAAAUUGCACUGUAUGUGAAGUUAACUUGUAAAGUGUAAUUAAUGGAAAUAUUACUUUUCUGAGAGUAGAUAAGAUGUUCAAAAUGGUUCAGCAACGUUACUUAUUUUAGUAUUUUGGCUAAAUGAUAAGCUUCUAUUGUAUGGCUAA